rnacentral:rRNA from 1 species
AGAGUUUGAUCAUGGCUCAGGAUGAACGCUAGCUACAGGCUUAACACAUGCAAGUCGAGGGGAAACGACAUCGAAAGCUUGCUUUUGAUGGGCGUCGACCGGCGCACGGGUGAGUAACGCGUAUCCAACCUGCCCACCACUUGGGGAUAACCUUGCGAAAGUAAGACUAAUACCCAAUGACGUCUCUAGAAGACAUCUGAAGGAGAUUAAAGAUUUAUCGGUGAUGGAUGGGGAUGCGUCUGAUUAGCUUGUUGGCGGGGUAACGGCCCACCAAGGCGACGAUCAGUAGGGGUUCUGAGAGGAAGGUCCCCCACAUUGGAACUGGAGACACGGUCCAAACUCCUACGAGAGGGCA